rnacentral:rRNA from 1 species
CCUACGGGAGGCAGCAGUGGGGGAUAUUGCACAAUGGGGGAAACCCUGAUGCAGCGACGCCGCGUGGGCGAAGAAGUAUUUCGGUAUGUAAAGCCCUAUCAGCAGGGAAGAAGAAAUGACGGUACCUGAGUAAGAAGCACCGGCUAAAUACGUGCAAGCAGCCGCGGUAAUACGUAGGGUGCAAGCGUUAGCCGGAUUUACUGGGUGUAAAGGGAGCGCAGGCGGCACGGCAAGCCUGAUGUGAAAGCCCGGGGCCCAACCGGGGGACUGCCUUGGAAACUGCCGGGCUGGAGUGCCGGAGAGGUAGGCGGAAUGCCUAGUGUAGCGGUGAAAUGCGUAGAUAUUAGGAGGAACACCAGUGGCGAAGGCGGCCUACUGGACGGUAACUGACGCUGAGGCUCGAAAGCGUGGGGAGCGAACGGGAUUAGAUACCCGGGUAGUC